CCUACGGGGUGCUGCAGUGAGGAAUAUUGGUCAAUGGACGCAAGUCUGAACCAGCCAUGCCGCGUGCAGGAAGACGGCUCUAUGAGUUGUAAACUGCUUUUGUACGAGGGUAAACGCAGAUACGCGUAUCUGUCUGAAAGUAUCGUACGAAUAAGGAUCGGCUAACUCCGUGCCAGCAGCCGCGGUAAUACGGAGGAUUCAAGCGUUAUCCGGAUUUAUUGGGUUUAAAGGGUGCGUAGGCGGUCGGAUAAGUUAGAGGUGAAAUCCCGAGGCUCAACUUCGGAAUUGCCUCUGAUACUGUUCGGCUAGAGAGUAGUUGCGGUAGGCGGAAUGUAUGGUGUAGCGGUGAAAUGCUUAGAGAUCAUACAGAACACCGAUUGCGAAGGCAGCUUACCAAGCUACUUCUGACGUUGAGGCACGAAGGCGUGGGGAGCGAACAGGAUUAGAUACCCGUGUAGUC
rnacentral:rRNA from 1 species